rnacentral:rRNA from 1 species
GUAGUCUGCAACUCGACUACAUGAAGCUGGAAUCGCUGUAAUCGCAGAUCAGAAUGCUGCGGUGAAUACGUUCCCGGGUCUUGUACACACCGCCCGUCACACCAUGGGAGUCGGAAAUGCCCGAAGCCGGUGACCCAACCAAAAGGAGGGAGCCGUCGAAGGCAGGUCUGAUAACUGGGGUGAAGUCGUAACAAGGUACC